AAAUUGAAGAGUUUGAUCAUGGCUCAGAUUGAACGCUGGCGGCAGGCCUAACACAUGCAAGUCGAGCGGUAACACAGAGAGCUUGCUCUCGGGUGACGAGCGGCGGACGGGUGAGUAAUGUCUGGGAAACUGCCUGAUGGAGGGGGAUAACUACUGGAAACGGUAGCUAAUACCGCAUAACGUCGCAAGACCAAAGUGGGGGACCUUCGGGCCUCAUGCCAUCAGAUGUGCCCAGAUGGGAUUAGCUAGUAGGUGGGGUAACGGCUCACCUAGGCGACGAUCCCUAGCUGGUCUGAGAGGAUGACCAGCCACACUGGAACUGAGACACGGUCCAGACUCCUACGGGAGGCAGCAGUGGGGAAUAUUGCACAAUGGGCGCAAGCCUGAUGCAGCCAUGCCGCGUGUGUGAAGAAGGCCUUCGGGUUGUAAAGCACUUUCAGCGGGGAGGAAGGCGGUGAGGUUAAUAACCUCAUCGAUUGACGUUACCCGCAGAAGAAGCACCGGCUAACUCCGUGCCAGCAGCCGCGGUAAUACGGAGGGUGCAAGCGUUAAUCGGAAUUACUGGGCGUAAAGCGCACGCAGGCGGUCUGUCAAGUCGGAUGUGAAAUCCCCGGGCUCAACCUGGGAACUGCAUUCGAAACUGGCAGGCUAGAGUCUUGUAGAGGGGGUAGAAUUCCAGGUGUAGCGGUGAAAUGCGUAGAGAUCUGGAGGAAUACCGGUGGCGAAGGCGGCCCCUGGACAAAGACUGACGCUCAGGUGCGAAAGCGUGGGGAGCAAACAGGAUUAGAUACCCUGGUAGUCCACGCCGUAAACGAUGUCGAUUUGGAGGUUGUGCCCUUGAGGCGUGGCUUCCGGAGCUAACGCGUUAAAUCGACCGCCUGGGGAGUACGGCCGCAAGGUUAAAACUCAAAUGAAUUGACGGGGGCCCGCACAAGCGGUGGAGCAUGUGGUUUAAUUCGAUGCAACGCGAAGAACCUUACCUGGUCUUGACAUCCACAGAACUUUCCAGAGAUGGAUUGGUGCCUUCGGGAACUGUGAGACAGGUGCUGCAUGGCUGUCGUCAGCUCGUGUUGUGAAAUGUUGGGUUAAGUCCCGCAACGAGCGCAACCCUUAUCCUUUGUUGCCAGCGGUUCGGCCGGGAACUCAAAGGAGACUGCCAGUGAUAAACUGGAGGAAGGUGGGGAUGACGUCAAGUCAUCAUGGCCCUUACGACCAGGGCUACACACGUGCUACAAUGGCAUAUACAAAGAGAAGCGACCUCGCGAGAGCAAGCGGACCUCAUAAAGUAUGUCGUAGUCCGGAUUGGAGUCUGCAACUCGACUCCAUGAAGUCGGAAUCGCUAGUAAUCGUAGAUCAGAAUGCUACGGUGAAUACGUUCCCGGGCCUUGUACACACCGCCCGUCACACCAUGGGAGUGGGUUGCAAAAGAAGUAGGUAGCUUAACCUUCGGGAGGGCGCUUACCACUUUGUGAUUCAUGACUGGGGUGAAGUCGUAACAAGGUAACCGUAGGGGAACCUGCGGUUGGAUCACCUCCUUACCUUAAAGAA
rnacentral:rRNA from 1 species